rnacentral:rRNA from 1 species
UACGGAGGGGGCUAGCGUUGUUCGGAAUUACUGGGCGUAAAGCGCGCGUAGGCGGACCUGCAAGUCGGGGGUGAAAGCCCGAGGCUCAACCUCGGAACUGCCUUCGAUACUGCGGGUCUCGAGUCCGGGAGAGGUGAGUGGAAUUCCGUAGUGUAGAGGGUGAAAUUCGUAGAUAUUAGGAAAGAACCACCGAAGUGGCAGGCUAGGGAACGGGCCUGGACC